rnacentral:rRNA from 1 species
AGUGAACGCUGGCGGUAGGCCUAACACAUGCAAGUCGAACGGCAGCACAGUAAGAGCUUGCUCUUACGGGUGGCGAGUGGCGGACGGGUGAGGAAUACAUCGGAAUCUACUUUUUCGUGGGGGAUAACGUAGGGAAACUUACGCUAAUACCGCAUACGACCUACGGGUGAAAGCAGGGGAUCUUCGGACCUUGCGCGAUUGAAUGAGCCGAUGUCGGAUUAGCUAGUUGGCGGGGUAAAGGCCCACCAAGGCGACGAUCCGUAGCUGGUCUGAGAGGAUGAUCAGCCACACUGGAACUGAGACACGGUCCAGACUCCUACGGGCGGCAGCCGUGGGGAAUAUUGGACAAUGGGCGCAAGCCUGAUCCAGCCAUACCGCGUGGGUGAAGAAGGCCUUCGGGUUGUAAAGCCCUUUUGUUGGGAAAGAAAAGCAGCAGGUUAAUACCCCGCUGUUCUGACGGUACCCAAAGAAUAAGCACCGGCUAACUUCGUG